GUUUAUAGAUGGAUGGAAGUGUCAUCAAUCCAGUCUUUACUUCAUUUCCUCUGAGAAGAAGAACUGGAAUGAGAGCAGAAGAUACUGUAGAGAGAGAGGAGCAGAUCUGAUCAUCAUCAACAACAGAGAGGAACAAGAUUUUGUGAAGAAUAUUUGUGGUUCUGAUCAUUUCUGGAUUGGUUUGACUGAUGUUGAAGAGGAGGGCAGAUGGAAAUGGGUUGAUGGCAGCAACAUCAACAUCACCUCUGAGUUCUGGGCGUCUGGAGAGCCAAACAAUCAGGGAAACGAAGACUGUGCUAAC